CCCCCCCCCCCCUGUUUCUUUCUCUCUCAUCAGAACUCUCUCUCUCUCUCUAGAAUAUAAACCUUCUCCACCCCUCUCUACUCUCUCUCUCUCUCUUCCCCCUUUGUCCCCCCUCUUUCUUUCUCUCUCAUCAGAACUCUCUCUCUCUCUCUCUCUAGAAUAUAAACCUUCUCCACCCCUCUCUACUCUCUCUCUCUCUCUUCCCCCUUUGUAUAUUAGAUUGAUAGAUUUGCAACAAUUAUAUAUGGGUGUACAAUUGAAGUUUUGUAUAGUUGGGGACAAGGGGAAAGAAUAUAGGGGCCUAAGGUCAAGAGGUGGAGCCAUAUAUAAUUGUUAGAGAAAUUGAUUAUUUUGGGUACAAUGUUAUAUGCUAAUAUCUUGGGAACUUUAAUAUGAAUGAGCCAAAAAAAAAAAAGGCAUGAGUAGGUAUCUCAACCAAA
rnacentral:lncRNA from 1 species